rnacentral:rRNA from 1 species
UGGGGAAUAUUGCACAAUGGGCGCAAGCCUGAUGCAGCCAUGCCGCGUGUGUGAAGAAGGCCUUCGGGUUGUAAAGCACUUUCAGCGAGGAGGAAGGUGGUGAGCUUAAUACGCUCAUCAAUUGACGUUACUCGCAGAAGAAGCACCGGCUAACUCCGUGCCAGCAGCCGCGGUAAUACGGAGGGUGCAAGCGUUAAUCGGAAUUACUGGGCGUAAAGCGCACGCAGGCGGUUUGUUAAGUCAGAUGUGAAAUCCCCGGGCUCAACCUGGGAACUGCAUUUGAAACUGGCAAGCUAGAGUCUCGUAGAGGGGGGUAGAAUUCCAGGUGUAGCGGUGAAAUGCGUAGAGAUCUGGAGGAAUACCGGUGGCGAAGGCGGCCCCCUGGACGAAGACUGACGCUCAGGUGCGAAAAGCGUGGGGCAGCAAACAGGAUUAGAUACCCUGGUAGUCCACGCUGUAAAACGAUGUCGAUUUGGAGGUUGUGCCCUUGAGGCGUGGCUUCCGGAGCUAACGCGUUAAAUCGACCGCCUGGGGAGUACGGCCGCAAGGUUAAAACUCAAAGGAAUUGAC